UACGGAGGAUCCAAGCGUUAUCCGGAAUCAUUGGGUUUAAAGGGUCCGUAGGCGGUCUUAUAAGUCAGUGGUGAAAGCCCAUCGCUCAACGAUGGAACUGCCAUUGAUACUGUAAGACUUGAAUGCUUAGGAAGUAACUAGAAUAUGUAGUGUAGCGGUGAAAUGCUUAGAUAUUACAUGGAAUACCAAUUGCGAAGGCAGGUUACUACUAAAGUGAUUUGACGCUGAUGGACGAAAAGCGUGGGGGAG
rnacentral:rRNA from 1 species